CUGAAAACCCUUGCCGCACUGUUUCUCUUCUUCCUUUGAAGCCCAUCUCUCAUCGUCUUUCUUUCCUUCGUCUUCAUCGUCCAUUCUUUAUGUGAUUUCUGGCGAUAAUCUCUUCAAUCAUGUUCUAAGGUUUUGUUGCGAUCUCUCUCUCUCUCUCUUUCUUUCUUUCUCUCCUAGUUAGAUGGGGCUUUUUUCGACCUUCGUUCAAGAUCUUUAAGGCCCAGAAACUCUUGACAACAUAUCUUAGCUAAAGGCCCCAUAGUAAGGACACUUUCAACCAUCUCUCUGAAUGUUUUUCUCAUCAUUUCAUUUGAAAAGUUGGAGUAUUGAAGGAUCGCAUAUACAAACCAAAGGUAUACAGGAGCAGGACUUUUUUUUAAGUCUAUUUGAAUAGCAUAGUAUUUUAUUGUAUAUGACAAUUGAAUUGGAACAUUUUGUCAUAGUAAAUAUAUAUAUUUUUAUUUAAUUA